GACGAACGCUGGCGGCGUGCUUAACACAUGCAAGUCGAACGGAAAGACCCUGCUUUUGUGGGGUGCUCGAGUGGCGAACGGGUGAGUAACACGUGAGUAACCUGCCCUUGACUUUGGGAUAACUUCAGGAAACUGGGGCUAAUACCGGAUAGGAGCUCCUGCUGCAUGGUGGGGGUUGGAAAGUUUCGGCGGUUGGGGAUGGACUCGCGGCUUAUCAGCUUGUUGGUGGGGUAGUGGCUUACCAAGGCUUGGACGGGUAGCCGGCCUGGGAGGGUGGCCGGCCACAUUGGGACUGAGAUACGGCCCAGACUCCUACGGUAGGCAGCAGUGGGGAAUAUUGCACAAUGGGCGGAAGCCUGAUGCAGCAACGCCGCGUGCGGGAUGACGGCCUUCGGGUUGUAAACCGCUUUCGCCUGUGACGAAGCGUGAGUGACGGUAAUGGGUAAAGAAGCACCGGCUAACUACGUG
rnacentral:rRNA from 1 species